rnacentral:rRNA from 1 species
UACGUAGGGCGCAAGCGUUGUCCGGAAUCAUUGGGCGUAAAGAGCGCGUAGGCGGUCCGGUAAGUCCGCUCUGAAAGUCCGGGGCUCAACCCCGGGAGGCGGGCGGAUACUGCCGGGCUAGAGUCCGGAAGAGGCGAGUGGAAUUCCUGGUGUAGCGGUGAAAUGCGCAGAUAUCAGGAAGAACACCCGUGGCUAAGGCGGCUCUCUAGUACGGUACUGACGCUGAGACGCGAAAGCGUGGGGAGCAAACGGG